GAUAACCAGAACAUCCAAUAAUGUAACUUUGGGUGAUACAUAACAUGACUUGGUGAUAUCCAAGUCUUUUGACAAUACAUAAACUUACUCAUACUCAUCUGGCAUAUCUCCAUACAUAUUUUAAAAUUCGAAUUUCUUGGUCAAAUGAUGUAUUUUUCAAAUUAUUAAAUAUAUUUAGAUGUCUUUACUAUACAAAGUUAAAUGUACAACUAAAUUAGUAAAAAGUGCUGAGGUUUUAUUGGAACAAUUAACAUUCUGACAAAAAUGUUUAUGAAUGUACUCUGUACUUUACUAAUACUGUCUUUUUUCAUUUAUAUCUAAAUUUCCCCUUCUAUUUAAUAACCAGUUUUGAUUUUUUAUAUGAAAUCUAUAACUUCUUAAUUCAUACAGAUUCU
rnacentral:lncRNA from 1 species